rnacentral:rRNA from 1 species
GACGAACGCUGGCGGCGUGCUUAACACAUGCAAGUCGAACGGUGAUGCUCCAGCUUGCUGGAGUGGAUCAGUGGCGAACGGGUGAGUAACACGUGAGCAACCUGCCCCAGACUCUGGAAUAAGCGCUGGAAACGGCGUCUAAUACUGGAUACGAAACUGGCCCGCAUGGGCAUGGUUUGGAAAGGUUUUCGGUUUGGGAUGGGCUCGCGGCCUAUCAGCUUGUUGGUGAGGUAAUGGCUCACCAAGGCGACGACGGGUAGCCGGCCUGAGAGGGCGACCGGCCACACUGGGACUGAGACACGGCCCAGACUCCUACGGGAGGCAGCAGUGGGGAAUAUUGCACAAUGGGCGAAAGCCUGAUGCAGCGACGCCGCGUGAGGGAUGACGGCCUUCGGGUUGUAAACCUCUUUCAGCAGGGAAGAAGCGAAAGUGACGGUACCUGCAGAAGAAGCACCGGCUAACUACGUG